AGAGUUUGAUCCUGGCUCAGAUGAACGCGGCGGCAUGCCUAAACACAUGCAGCGAACGAAGGCGCCUAGCUGCCUAGUGUCCUUAGUGGGCGGACGGUGAGUAGCGCGUGGAUUUGCCCUAGAGUGGGGAACAACAUUUGGAAACGAAUGCUAAUACCGCAUUACGCCCUUAGGGGGAAAGGCUUCGUCCGCCUGGAUGAUCCGCGUCUGAUUAGCUUUGUUGGUUAAGUGGGUGGGUAACGGCUUACCAAGGCGAAAGAUCAAGUACUGGUUUGAGAGGAUGAUACAGCCACACUGGACUGAGACACGGCCCAGACUCCUACGGAGCAGCAGUGGGGAAUAUUGACAAUGGGAAACCGCUGCCAGCAAUGCCGCGUGAGUGAAGAAGGCCAUUAGGGUUGUAAACUCUUUCACUGAUGAAGAUGACUGACGGUAAUCAGAGAAGAAGCCCCGCUAAACUCCGUGCCAAAGCAGCCGCGGUAAUACGGAGCGGGCUAGCGUUAUUCGAUUUACUGCGUAAAAGCGCACGGUAGGCGGCGUAUCUAGUCAGGGUGAAAGGCCCGGGCCUGCACCCCGGAAUUGACCUAUUGAAUACUGGUAUGCUUGAGUUCGGAAAGAGGGUAGUGGAAUUCCAAGUAGAGGUGAAAUUCAUGUAGAUAUUUGGAAGAACACGCGGUGGCGAAGGCGGCUACCUGGUCGAUUACUGACGCUGAGGUUGCGAAAGCGUGGGGAGCGACGAGGAUUAGAUACCCGUGGUAGUCACCGCCGUAAACGAUGAAGUGCUUAGUUGUCGACGCAUGCGUUUCGGUGACUAGUUAACGCGUUAAGCACUCCGCCUGGAGUACGGCCGCAAGUAAACUCGAAAGGAAUUGACGGGGCCCGCACAGAGCGUGAGAAUGUGGUUUAAUUCGGAAGGCACGCGAAGAACCUUACAGCCCUUGACAAUACCGGAUCCGAUAUAGUGGAGACACUUUUCUUCAGUUCGGGCUGGAUCGAUACAGGUGCUUGCAUGGCUGUCGUCAGCUCGUGUCAGUGUGAUUUGGGUUAAGUCCGCACGAGCGCAACCCUAUCCUUAGUUGCCAGCACUUUUAGGUGGGCACUCCUAGGGAAACUUGCCGGGACAAGCCGGAGGAAGUGGGAUGAUGACGUCAAGUCCUCCAUGCCCUUACCGGGCUGGGCUACACACGUGCUAGCAAAUGGCGCGAUGAACAGUGGAUGGCAAGCGUGCGAGCGUGAGCUAACUCCAAAAGUCCGUCAUCAGUUCGAUUGUCUUGAAGUGUGUGUAGAGCUGUUUUUUGAGUUUAUUUUACCCGAGAGCAUGAAGUCGGAAUCGGCUAAGUAAUCGCUAUAUCAGCAUGAGUCGGUGAAUAGCGUUCCCGGCUUGUAACACACGCGGCCCGGCAUAGCACAUGGGAGUUGUUUGACGAAGACGGUACGCCUAACGGCGCAAGGAAGGCAGCCGCCACGGUUCCAGGUCAGCGACUGGUGUGAAGUCGUAACAAGGUAGCCGUAGGGGAACCUGCGGCUG
rnacentral:rRNA from 1 species